rnacentral:sRNA from 1 species
CGGUCAUGCCUUUUCAGGCAUCCUCUCCCAAGACUUAACAGCCCGGUUGGUUCGCCAGCCGGGCUUUUUUCUUGUUCUGC